GAUGAACGCUGGCGGCGUGCCUAAUACAUGCAAGUCGAGCGAACAGACGAGGAGCUUGCUCCUCUGACGUUAGCGGCGGACGGGUGAGUAACACGUGGAUAACCUACCUAUAAGACUGGGAUAACUUCGGGAAACCGGCGCUAAUACCGGAUAAUAUAUUGAACCGCAUGGUUCAAUAGUGAAAGACGGUUUUGCUGUCACUUAUAGAUGGAUCCGCGCCGCAUUAGCUAGUUGGUAAGGUAACGGCUUACCAAGGCAACGAUGCGUAGCCGACCUGAGAGGGGGAUCGGCCACACUGGAACUGAGACACGGUCCAGACUCCUACGGGAGGCAGCAGUAGGGAAUCUUCCGCAAUGAGCGAAAGCUUGACGGAGCAACGCCGCGUGAGUGAUGAAGGUCUUCGGAUCGUAAAACUCUGUUAUUAGGGAAGAACAAAUGUGUAAGUAACUAUGCACGUCUUGACGGUACCUAAUCAGAAAGCCACGGCUAACUACGUG
rnacentral:rRNA from 1 species